AUGAAGCAAAAGAAUGUGAAUCUACUUUCAUAAAGUGUGUUAACUGUGAACUGGUGAACAAACUGCGUAACCUUGCAACUGAUAUAUUCCUGGAUCGAACUACAUCGACUCUGGCACGCAACGAUGUUGGUACUAUGAAAGCCACCGAUCCUCCCACCACAGUCCUGCCACUGUAGCCGUCGUUCAACAAUCUUCCCGACCCUGUGUGUGGGAUUGGAUAAGUGGUCUUCCAACCUGAAACUGCAGUUCCAGCGCUACGCCGAUUGAUCAACUAUAUUCUGUCAGCUUGACACUGGAACACAAUGAUGUUGGCACCAUGGAAGCCCCUAAUCUCUCUGCCACAGUCGGGCUAUUCUACUUCCUGCUUUGUCAGAUGCUGAGAUGCCUGACCUGUUAUAUGGAAGGAUUAUGCACGAGGAGCGAUUCGAAUCCCCCCAGUUUUGAAGACAUUAAGAACUGAUGUUCCAUUGCCCUGGUCAGAUGGCUGGUGGUGAAGGAAAACAAUAAGUACAUGGAAACCAGAAAAAACUAUCUAUUUUAAUACUCUCGCCCGCACGUCCCAUUGCACUACAAAUAAAAUUCGCUUUCUAAUCAGUCCCGACCAGGGUCCGGAAGGAACGCUAUUACAUUACAUUGAACUUGCACCAUGCUUCCG